GGGACUCAGAGAGCAGCAGUUGGAAAUCAGGACCAGCGUCCACACCAGAGUGCAGUAGGGGGGAGGGGUCCCAGGCAUCGGGAUCAGGCGGCGCACUGCCAGUGGGAGGACAUGAGUCAGGAUUGGCCACGCCUCCAUCGGGGAGCGAGGAGACGGUCGAGAGGAAGGUUGAAGGCUGGGCGCGCGCGCCAAGUUCAAAUGUACAGGAGGGCGGCGCAGUUGGCAGCCCGGAUAGGGAGCCAGGUCCCAAAGCCCGCCGAAAAGAGGGGGAGGAGUCAGGGGGGUCAGCGUCAGAAGAAUCCAGGAAGGAAGGGACCCCGGGGGGUAGCAGGACCCAGAGGAGAAAGGAGAGACGUAAGAGGUGGAGUAAGGCUAGAAUCUUAAACUGGUGUACCGGGGGCGGAGACUCAGUUGGAGCUUCGCCGAUCUAACCCCUAGUCGUAGAGCUGGGGCGCUGCGGCUUGAAAAUGGAAACUGUACUUCAAUAAAGACUUUUGUACAUUACUGCCGGCUAGCGUUGGUCCUCUGUGAGCUGGGACCUGGAGCCAGCUCUGACAGGACAAAUAAGCUUGGAUUGUUAUUUCGGUGUUCAUUCACUCACAAAUAGCAAAGCGAAUUGUAAUAAGCCUAAACAAUGCCAAACAGGUUGUUUUGGGUUGCAGCAACAUAGAAAGAAGAAUCUUGGAUUUCGCUUAUUUCAAGUCGUGUUCUUUGGUGUUAAUGCACAUUGACCCAGAAAUCUCAAAGUGUGUGUAAUGAGACCAAAAUAUCACAACACUGUCUUUUCGCUUCCAUAUGCGUAGAAAGAAGACGAAUAAGCUUUGAUUGUGCUUAUUUCAAUUCGCAUGGGGUUUUUUGGGUGUGCACCAGAAUCACCCCCAACCAAAGCAAAAAGGUUUUUUGUGUUCCAUCUACAUAAAAUGAAGAUCAUAAAGCUCUGAUUGGUUUUAUUUAAAAUUAGUGUUUUUUUUAAAAAAAUAUUUUUUAUUCUUUUUCCAUAACAAAUUAUACAUCCAAAACAACUUAUUUACAUCCAAAUUCCUCCUUAUUGACUUCCCUCCUCCCGCCUUAAAAACCUUCUUAGUACUUACUUUCUCCACAUUUCUUAAAUUUAAAUUACACAACCAUAUUAUUAAUUAAUUUUUUACAAUCUAACAAUAUUCCUACCUUUUCUCUUCACAGAGCUUCCUUAAAACUUACAAACGUUAUCUGAUUAUCACUUAAUUUUUGCAUAUAUUCAAUUAAUUUCAUCCAAUCUUCUGUAAAUCUUUGAUCACGUCUCUUCUGGAUCCUUCCUGUUAGUCUAUCGAGUUCCGCAUAAUCCAUCAUUUUCAUUCUCCAUUCUUCAAUCGUAAGUACCUCUUCUUGCUUCCACUUCUGGGCCAUCAAAGUUCUUGCUGCUGACACUGCAUAUAAAAAUAUCUUAUCUAUCUCAUUACCUAUUAUUCCUAGUAAAAAACGCUUCUGGUUUCUUUACAAAUGUAUAUUUCAAUACUUUCUUCAAUUCAGUAUAAAUCAUUUCCCAAAAGUUUUAAACUUUUUUACAGUCCCACCACAUAUGGUAAAACGUUCCUUCCUUUUUUCUACACAUCCAACAUUUAUUACUUAUCUUAUACAUCUUUGCCAGUUUUACAGGUGUCAUAUACCAUCAAUACAUCAUCUUCAUUACAUUUUCUUUUAUAGCAGUGCACGCCGUAAAUCUUAUUCCAUCUUUCCACAAUUUUAACCAAUCUUCUAUUUGUAUAUUAUAUCCAAAAUCUUUGGCCCAGUCAAUCAUAACCGAUUUCACCUCUUCAUCCUUUGUAUAACAUUCCAACAAUAAUUUAUACAUUCUUGCUAAACUUUGGAAUUCAUCAUUCAAUAUUUCUUUCUGAAAUUUAGACUCUUUAUCAGCAAAACCUCUUUGUAGCAUAUCUUUCUUAAACAUUUCAUUAAUUUGAAAAUAAUGCAGCCUUUAACCUCUUCAAAUGGUCUUAUUUUCCAUUUACUUCCUUCUCUUUCAAUUAACUUUUCAUAUGUUGCCCAUCCCCCCCCCAUAUUAAUUUUCUUUACACUCAUUGCCUCCAAUGGCGAUAACCAAUAUGGAGUUUUUGGCUCCAAUAAAUUUUUAUACCUCUCCCAGACUUCUAUAAGAGACCUUCGUAUUACAUGGUUUUCAAAACCUUUAUGUACACGUUUCUUAUCACACCACAAAUAUGCAUGCCACCCAAAUCUAUUAUCAAAACCUUCCAAAACUAACAAUUCUGUAUUUUCUAAUUUCAUCCAUUCCUUCAACCAACAGAGGCAUGACGCUUCAUAGUAUAAUUUCAAGUCUGGCAGGGCAAAGCCUCCUCUUUCUUUUGCAUCUGUCAAUAACUUAAACUUUAUUCUCGGCUUCUUACCCUGCCAGAUAUACCUUGAAAUUACUCUUUGCCAUUCUUUAAAAAUUGCUGCCCCCUUGAUUAUUGGAAUUGUUUGAAACAGAAAUAGUAAUAUCGGUAGCAUAUUCAUCUUAAUUGUUGCAAUUCUUCCCCAAAAUGACAGUUUCAUUCUUCCCCACACCUCAAGGUCUCUUUUAAUCUUGUUCCAAAUUAGGGUAUAAUUAUUCUGAAAUAAAUCAAUACUCUUGGGGGUCAACCACACUCCUAAAUAUUUCACUUUUUAAACUACUUCCAUCUCAACUUGUUGCUGCAUUUUAUCCAUUAUUUCUUGGUCCAUAUUUUUGACAAUUAUUUUGGUUUUUUUCUUAUUCAGUUUGAAUCCUGCCCAAACUGAUCUAUCUCUUCCAACACUUCUAUUACUGAAUUUAUGGGAUCCUCCACAGUAAUAACCAAGUCAUCGGCAAAAGCCUUGACUUUAUAUUCCUUACAUCCCACUGACACACCUUUUAUUUGUUCAUUAUUUCUUAUCAUCUUAAGUAAAACCUCCAGCACCACGAUGAAUAACAACGGUGAAAGAGGACAUCCCUGUCUUCUACCUUUCGUUAUUGCAAUAUUUUCAGUUGUCACAUUGUUAACUAUUAAUUUUGCUCUUUGCUCCAUAUAUAUUGCCUUAAUACCAUUUAAAAACGUUUGUCCCAUGUCCAUCAUUUCUAGAUUCUUUAACAUAAAUUCCCAUGAAAUAUUAUCAAAAGCCUUUUCCGCAUCCACAAAUAUUAACAUUGCUUGUUUAUCACUCCUGGCAGUCAGAUAUUCAAUUACAGUGGUACCUCGCAAGACGAAUGCCACGCAAGACGAAAAACUCGCAAGACGAAAGAGUUUUUGGUUUUUUGAGUUGCUUCGCGAGACGAAUUUCCCUAUGGGCUUGCUUCGCAAGACGGAAACGUCUUGCAAGUUUGUUUCCUUUUUCUUAAAACCGUUACAGUAAUACUGGGUGCAUUGCUUGAAGAGGUGCAGUUGCGACUUGACUUCGAGGAGCAACUCAUAGCACGCGGUGUGGUAGCCUUUUUUGAGGUUUUUGAAGAUUUUUUUGGAAAAAUGGAAACCGUGCUUCGCAAGACGAAAAAACUCGCAGAACGAAUUAAUUUCGUCUUGCGAGGCACCACUGUAUAUUGAUUAUGUUUCUUAUGUUAUCUUUCAUUUGUCUGCCUGGAAGAAACCCUGCUUGAUCCUUAUUCAUUCUAUUUGCUAGUAUACUUGCAAAUAGUUUAUAAUCAUUGUUUAAAAGCGAAAUAGGCCUAUAAUUUUUAACUUGGGACAAAUCGGAAUAUUCUUUAGGAAUAAAAGUUAUAUAAGCUACCUUCCACGUUUCUGGUAUUUCCUUUCUUAUUAGUAUGUUGUUCAUUACUUCUUUCAAUGGUGCAAGAAGGGUGUCCUUCAUUUCUUUAUAAAAUCUCGCGCUGAAGCCAUCCUGGUGUUUUUCCACUUUUCAAUUCUUUAAUUGCACAAUUUAUUUCCUCUGUCUCAAUCAUCUCGUUUAAUUUAUUCUUUUUUUCUGUCGGAAUUUUCUGCACCCCUUUUUCUUUUAAAAAAUCUUCAAUUUUUUUCUUAUUUACUUUUUCUUUUCUUUUAUACAAUUGUCUAUAGAAAUCCAUAAAUCCUUUUCUAAUUCCUUUUGGAUCUUUAAACUCUUGAUCUUCUACUAUAAUUUUUUGUAUAGUAUUUUGCUCUUUCCUCUUUUUAAUCUGCCAGGCCAGAAGUUUUCCUGAUUUAUUUGCAUACUCAAAGUUCCUCUGCUUCAUUUUUUUGAUGUUCCAUUCUACUUCCUUACUUAUUAUCAUAGAAAAUUGCAAUUAUAAUGUUUUGAUGUUCAAUUUCAAUUUCUUAUCCUGGGGUCUGGUAAUUAGCUUUUUGUCAUUCUCCAUUAUUUGUUUUAAGAUUUCUUUUUUCCCUUUUUCUCUAAAUUUAUUUUUAAUUGUAUUUUGUUGGAUAAAGAAACCUCUCAUUACUGCCUUUCAAGCAUCCCGGACUGUACUCAUUUUUGUUCCUUGGUUCAUGUUGUUAAUAAAAUAAUCCUUAAAACACUUUUGUGCAUUUUCCACUAUUUCCUGGUCAUCAAAAAGAUUUUCAUUUAUUCUCCACCGGAAAGAUUUUUCCUCAAAUCCUUUUAAUAUACAUUUAAUCGCAUUAUGGUCCAAAAGUACUUUAGGUUGGAUUUCAACCUUUGAUAUUCUUGGUGUUAAUUCAUUAGAUAUCCAUAUCCGAUCAGUUCUGGACAUUGAUUGGUUUGCCUCUCAAUAGAAGGUGAAUUGUUUUUCUAAUGGGUGCCUUAGUCUCCAAAUGUCAAUUAAAUUGCAGUUCUCUACCAUUGAGAAAAAUGUUUUUGGUAACUUCCCUUCUUUUGUUUUUCCUGUUACUCUUAAUCUGCCCAUUUCCAUUGACACUACUGCAUUCAUAUCUCCCAUUAUUAUCUUUUGAUCCAAAUAUUCAAAUAAUUUAUCUUCCAAUUCUUUGAAAAAGUCCAUUUUGUUAUCAUUGGGUGCAUAUACUCCGACUAUUAUUAAUUUUUCACCUUGCCAUUUGACUUGUACUGCCACUAUUCUACCUUCUUCAUCUUUAAAAAUCUGUUGAGCCUCUAAUUUAUUUUUAAUAUAUAAUGCCACCCCUCUCUUUUUGCUUUUGUCAGAUGAAAUGAAUUCAUUUCCUAAUUUUUUGUUCAUUAAAAAUUUUCUGUGUCUUCUCAUCACAUGUGUCUCCUGUAAACAAAUAAUGUCCAAAUUCUUUUUUAAAAAUAUUGUUGAAUUUUAUUUCUUUUUUUCUAUCGUUCAUCCCAUUGAUAUUCCAAGUCCAUAAUUUCAACGCCAUGAUGAGUCCAAAUUAAUUUUAGUAAUAAAUUUUGAUUCUAUUUCUCCUCUUCCUUCUCUUCUUUAUCUUCUUCAGAUUCUUGUGAAUCUCCACCUUCCGCCCCUGCUCCCAUUGCCUCUGCUUCUUCUUCUUCUCUUUCUAACUCUCUAUAUCUUCUCAGGAACUUAUCCAUUUCAUCCGGUCUUGUAAACCUGUGUCUUUUUCCUUUAUAAGCAAAUGAUAGCCCCUCUGGAAAUUCCCACCUGAAUUCAAUUUUGUUUUGCCUCAGUAUUUGCACUAGGUGUUGGUAAUGGUUGCGUUUCUUCAAUAAGCGAAGUCUUUAAAAAUAAUUAUAUAAUUUCCAUCAAUAUUUAAUCUUUUUUCUCUAUUCUUUUGCAAAAUUAGAUUUCUUAUUUCUCUGUCUUUGAAAAUAACUAAGCAAUCUCCAGGAAAUUUCUUUGCUUUGGUUGUCCUAACUUUAAUUCUGAAGGCGUUUUGUAUUGUCUUUGCAACAUCUUCUUCCUGCAUCUCUAACCAUUGGGUAAUCUCUUUAAUGAGUUUCUCCUUUAUUUCUUCUCCUAACCCUAACCCUAGCAAAGCGAGGUGUAAUAAGCCUAAACAAAGCCAAACAGGUUGUUUUGGGUUCCAGCUACAUAGAAAGAAGAAUCUUGGAUAUCGCUUAUUUCAAGUCGUGUUCUUUGGUGUUAAUGCACAUUGACCCAGAAAUCGCAAAGUGUGUGUAAUGAGAUCAAAAUAACACAACACUGUCUUUUCGCUUCCAUAUGCGUAGAAAGAAGACAAAUAAGCUUUGAUUGUGCUUAUUUCAAUUCGCAUGGUGUUUUUUAGGUGUGCACUAGAAUCACCCCCAACCAAAGCAAAAAGGUCUUUUGGGUUCCAUCUACAUAGAAAGAAUAAUUUUUGAUUUUGCUUAUUUCAAUUCGCCUCAUGUUCUUUGGUGUUAAUGCACAUUGACCCAGAAAUCGCAAAGUGUAAUGAAACCAUAAUAACAAAACACAGUCUUUUCACUUCCAUAUACGUAGAAAAGAGAAUAAGCUUUUAUUGGGCUUAUUCGUGUUUUUUGAGGUGUUCACCAGAAUCAUCAAAGAAUCGCAGUCCAAAGUAACAAAAAUUGUUGUUGUUUUUUUUAAGAAUAAUUUUUAUUAACCGACCAAUCACAUCAAAUCAAACCAAAUUACAUAAAUUCCAAAUUACAAAGCCGAAUUUUAAAUUUUUGUUGGGGGUACCCAUAUUUCAAGUUUCAAGUUCCGAAGGGGAUCCAAUCAUCUUCUUGCUGCUGCUUUAAUGUCCACAAAUCUGACCAUAUGAUGUUCACAGUACUAUCCAGUCCUUUCUUAUUGUUUUUCCACACCUCUUCUUGUUAUUUUCACAUAUUUUUCCUUUCUCUUUGUGACCUCUGAUAGUCUCCACAAGCGGGUUAAAACAGCUUGUAAUCAUGUGUGGAUAUUUUUUUUAUCCAAGAGCCAUAUCCAGACGUUUUCCGUAUAACAUCACUUCCAUAAAUCAAAACAGUCUUACCGUCGUUAAUCUUCACAAAUCUGUCGCCUUUCUCAAACCUCUGAGGAGAUUCACCAGGAAUGCUGUCUGAAAACAAAUCCAUUCCUCCUCCCGGUUGUAAAUCCUUCGGCAAAACCUGCCAAGAUGGCGACUCUGUAUUUAUUGUCCCGCCAUUGCAAAAGCUCUUGUUCUUUACUCAAUCUCCAUAAAGCAUACUUUGGGUUAAAAUUCAUUUCCACACAGUCCUUAAUCAUCCUGCUUGGGUCAGUUAACUGACGGUUCUAACGAGGGGGGGUUCUUGGUUAAUCACAUAGAAGAAAAGAAAAAAGGGUUCCCCCCCCAUCCAGUCCCAUUGCUGACAUACCCAGCCUUUUGAUUAUCUUCUUCGUGAAAUAUUCCUAUUGCUCCAACCUGUCGUCUUCUUUAACAGAGGUCCCUUCUAUUAGCAGUCUUCACUCCCCUUCUUCACUUGAAAUAUGUGCAUUUGCUUCUUUUGUAAUUAAUUAUUCCACAUUGCUGCAGCUAGUGUGCGAUCAGAGACAGCGUCCAGGAGAGCCGGGGUCCACACGGGGGCAUUCUGCCUAGGGCCCUCACCCCCUUCUUUCGAAUUUGGGGGUGAUUUAUGGGCACAGCAGGCAAGGGCAGUGUUCCCCAUUCACUUGGGGCAACAAGGGAGGCUGCCUACUCCCAUAACAGCCUCUUAAUAACCCCGUGUGGUCCGGAGAGAUGGUAUUGUCGGCCAUCUUCCAAUGCGCACCUAGUGGCCUCCAAAGUAACAAAACUUGCUAUCGCUUCCAUAUGCGUAGGAUAAGCUUUAAUUGGGCUUAUUUCAAUUCGUGUUUUUUGGGUGUGAAUGCUUUAAUUGGGCUUAUUUCAAUUUGUGUUUUUUGGGUGUGAAUGCUUUAAUUGGACUUAUUUCAAUUCGUGUUUUUUGGAUGUGAAUGCACAUUCACCGAAAAAUGCAGUGUACAAAAUAACAAAACUUGUUUUUGCUUCCAAAUGCGUAGAAAGAAGAAAAAUAAGCUUUGAUCGGGGUUAUUUCAAUGUCUUUGUGCUUUUUCUUUGAUCAUUCACCCCAAAAUAGCAGAGGUGUAAUCAGUCCAAACAAAGAAAAACAGGUUGGGCUUAUUUCAAUUCGUGUUUUUUCGGUCUGAAUGCACAUUCACCCAAAAAUGGCAGUGUUAUCAUUCCAAAAUAACAAAACACCUUUUCGCUUCCAUAUGCGUAUAAAGUAUAAGCUUUAAUUGGGCUUAUUUCAAUUCGUGUUUUUUGGUGUGAAUGCAUUCACGCCAAAAUCGCAGUCCAAAAUAAAACUUUUCGCUUCCAUAUGCGUACAAAGAAGACGAAUAAGCUUUGAUUGUUCUUAUUUCAAUUCGCAUGGUGUUAUAUGGCGUGCACCAGUAAUCAUCCCAAACAAAGCAAAAUAGGUGUUUUGGAUUCCAUCUACACAAAAAGAAGAAAAAGCUUUGAUUUGCUUAUUUCAAAUUGUUGUUUUUUGGGUUAGAAUGCACUAACCCAAAAAUCGCAGUGAAAUGUUAUCAGUCUAAACCAAGCAGGUGUUUUGGUUCCAUCUCAAUAUAAAGAUGACGAAUGCUUUGAUUUCAAUUCGUGUUUUUUGGGUGUUCUUCACCCAAAAAUAGCAAAGCGAAGUGUAAUAAGGGUAAACAAAGCAAAACAGGUUGUUUUGGGUUCCAUCUACAUAGAAAGAAUAAUUUUUGAUUUCACUUAUUUCAAUUCGCUUCGUGUUCUUUGGGGUGUUUUGGUUCCAUUGGGGGUAUCUAAAUCCGUGUUUUUUGGUGUGAAUGCACAUUCACCCCAAAAUUGCAGUGUGUCCAAAACAAACCUUUUCCCUUCCAUAUGCUUAGAAAGAAGACGAAUAAGCUUUGACUGGGUUUAUUUAAUUUCGUGUUUUUUCGGUGUUCAUCCAAAAAAAAGCAGAGCGAAGUGUAAUGUCCAAAAUAACAAAACAUGGUGUUAUAUCUAGAUAGAAAGCUUUGACUUCAAUUCGCUUCGUGUUUUUUUGGUGUUAAUGCACAUUCAGGGGAAAUCGCAAAGUGUAAUGUCCAAAAAUAACAAAACACCUUGUUUUCGCUUCCAUAUGCGUAGACAGAAGAAUAAGCUUUGAUUGUUCUUAUUUCCAAUCACAUGUUGUUUUUUGGGUGUGCACCAGAAUCACCCCAAAAAGCAAAAGAGGUGUUUUGGCUUCCAUCUGCAUAAAAAGAAGACAAAUAACCUUUCAUUGGGCUUAUUUCAAUUGAAGGCACCAGUGGCAGAGGAACAGGUGCUAGAGUCUCAGGUGGAGGAGGCACUAGCGGCAGCGGAAGAGGCUCAGGCGGAGGAGGCACAAGCGCGAGCAGCAGAGGCCUGAUGUGGCAGAGUCUCAGGAGUUGGAGGCACUAGUGACAGCGGAAGAGGCUCUGGUGGCGAAAGCACCAGCGGCAGCUGCAGAAGUGCAGGUGGUAGAGAUUCAGGCGGCAGAGGAACCAGCGGCAGUGGCAGAGGCAGAAAUGGUAGAGGCUCAGGUGGUGGAGGCACCAGUGGCAGACGCACAGGUGGUAGAGAUUCAGGCGGCAGAGGUACCAGCGGCAGCAGCAGACGCCCAAGCAAUAGAGGCUCUGGCGGCAGAGGCACCAGUGGCAGCGGCUCAGGCAGUGGAGGCACCAGCGGCAACAGCAGAGGUACAGGUGGUUCAGGCGGUGGGGGCAUCAGCGGCAGAGGCUAAGGCGGCAGAGGCACCAGAGGCAUCCGCAGAGUUGCAGGUGGUAGAGGCUCAGGUGGCGAAAGCACCAGUAGCAGGUGCAGAGGCGCAGGUGGUAGAGAUUCAGGCGGCAAAGGCACCACCAGCAGCGGCAGAGGCGCAGAUGGUAGAGGUUCAGGCGACUAAACAACAACAACACAGCAAAUUAAAAAAUGCUAGGCUUGACACACUCCCUACCAAGGCUGAAGUUCUGCAAUACUUGGUACAUUUGAGGGAGCUGGGUCACACAGCAAAGACUCUUAAACAUCCAGUCAGCUGCAAUCUCCUCCUUCUGUAAGGCUAUUUACUCCACAGACCCUUGUGUGGAUUUCUUAGUGUGAAGGGCACUGGGGGGCUGGCGCAGGCUGCAGCCUCCCAGCAGUGAUGGUAGAAGGCCCAUAACUUAUGACAGUCUAUGCCAAAUCCAAAUAACAACAACAACAACAACAACAACAACAACAACAACAACAACAACAAUAAAGAGGUAUCUGUUGGUCUAAGUACAAGGCCCGGUUAUUUUUUGGCUGCAUACUCCAUCGCCUCCUUUGGCGCUCUGCACAUUGGCGAAGUGGUUUGUGAGGGCCAACAAGAUUCCGCUGCCCGGGGAAGUUUAUUGAGAGACCUUACCUUGUCCAGAUCCAAUUUAGUCCUGCAUGUCCGAUGUUCCAAAACUGAUCAGCAGGGAAAGGGGGCCCUUAUUUGGCUCCAAACAACUAGUCACAAUGGGCCAUGCCCAGUAAAGAGCACUAGACAUUUCAUGUACGUGAGAUCAACCGUCUCAGGCCCAUUCCUCAUACAUUUGGAUGGCUCCCACCUUGCACAGAAUCAGUUCAUGCUGCUAUGCGAAGGGCGAUUGCUGCCUGUGGUUCACCCCCAGCUGAAUUUGCCUUUCGAAUUGGGAGCAAUGCAUUUGGGAGUCUCAGCUGAAUGGAUGAAGGACUUGGGGCGGUGGAAGUCUAAUACUUUUAAGGGAUAUAUUCGUAAGACCUUGUGAUUGUUCAUGGUAUAUCUGACCUGGCUUUGUUACCUUCUUUUGCUUUCAGGAGACAUUGUGGUGCACAUAGACUUGGGCUAUCAGAAAGGCGUGGACUUGAUGUGGGACAUUUACAAUGAUUUCAAUGAACUGAUUGCCUCAUUGCCAGAUUCAACCCUAAUUUGGUCACCACUGCUGGCGAGGCAUGUCGGUGCCCUGUUGCGAUAAACAAAGCCCAGGAAGCUUUUGGUACAUUAGGUGGCAUGUAGAGUGGCAGCUCUGGGGGGUUGGGUCAUUGACCACCCCAACAUCCAGUUCAGCUGUGGCCCUCUACUGAGAGGAUGGCGUACAUCUUUCCGAUGUGGGAAACAAUGUGUGGUUGGCGGAUAUGAUGUCUGGGAUUAGGGAUUGGUUGCAGGUUUGAGGGUAUUUGUGGCAAGCUUUUGCUCGAGUGGCGGUUAGGCAUUGGUAUUGGUAUUGUUAUGUAGAUGGAAGGGGGGGAGGAAGCACCAUCACCUCCCCCCCCAUAUUGAAGGGUAGUCCGAUAAAGGAUUCUAGGGGGCGUGGCCCUGUCUGAAGGCUAUGGAGGUGAGGGCCUAAGCCACGCCCCCGAGCGGUGACCCUGGGGGAGUUCCUAGUUGAUGUGCAUCAGCAGGACUCCCCCUACUGGACUUCCCGGACUUCAAGCGAACAGGCUGAAGCCAGAUAGUCGGUUAGGACCAAUGCCUAAGCCAAUACCGCUCAUCACCUGUAACCAAUAAAGUUGUGGCCAUAUUUAGACCAUUAACCUUAAAUAUCUGUGUCGUGUGUCUUUAUUUCCACUGGGGGGAGGCAGGAACUCGCCACGCAACUAGUUUCAACAUCACUCCCAUAGAAGAUGUGAUUGUUAUAACUCUUCCUUCUUGACUUGUACAGAAAGCAAUCUUUCCAAAAUGUGUUCAUGAGAAAUUGUGGGGAAACUGUCCUACUUCGAACAGUAUUUGCAUAUCCUCUUGUAUUUGAUCCACUGCAAGUAGAUAGCUCCUUUUCAUGAAGCUGCUCUUAGCUGUUCUGUGGAGGCAGAUUUUCAUCUUUCUUAAAACUAGAAUUAAGGAAAGAGCCCCUAAAAUAAAUAAGAAGAAAAUGAGACUAGAAAUGACUGGACAUGUAUGUAAGUAAGUAAAUAAAAUUAAUUUUAUUAUUUAUACCCCACCCACCUGAUUGGGUUUCCCCAGCUACUCUGGGUGGCUUAGAGUACAUAAAAAAUUGUAAAACAUUAGACACUAAAAAUUUCCCAAUAAAGGGUUGUCUUCUAAAUUUGGUUAGCCAAGGUGGUUCCCUUCAAAUGUUGUUGGAUUGUCAUCAUACCUGACCAUUGGCCAUGAUAACUGAGGCUGAUAAUCCAACAUCAUCUGGAGUGAACCACACUGGCUACCCCCAUCCUAUGUUGUAUUUUGCUAUGGUUAUUGGGGGUGGGGGGAGGAAGGGCUGUUCUUAUACCUUGAAAUACUGUUAACUUUCACAAUAGGUUUAUAUAGCUCUGGGAUCUUCCUCUCAAUCACUGGCCUAAGGUUCUCUUUCAACUUGUUAUAGUUCUUUUUGAUAAUCCCUUUGGUCAGCAGUAAUCAGGCAUUUAUUUUUCACCACAUCUGUUCCCAAAAAAUGAAGAACAAAAUUCAUGUUAAUUAAUUUCACCACUUAGUCUUGCACCAUGUGCAUCUUGUAAUAAAGUUUCAGUUUUGGCUGGGACUGAGCUUUAUAAUCAUCCCCAUAAAGCCAAAUUUAGCACAAAACAGAAAACGAAGCAGAAUAACUCAAAACAAAUAAGAAACAUCAGAAUAAUGAAAAACAAUUGAUGGGAAACAGAACCACCCUAAACCCUAACCAUUUACCUCUUACCCAUGACCCCUAAUCACUUGCCCAUUACCCUUUACUCCAAUCCCUUAUCCCCAACCACCUACCCUGUAUCUCUAACCCAUAAGCACUUUCCCUUAACCCCAUACCAUUUACCACUAACCCCAAUCCCUACCCAUUUAACACUAAGCCCUUACCCUAACCCAGGCAUAGGCAAACCUGGCCCUCCAGAUGUUUUGAGGCUACAAUUCCCAUCAUCCCUGACCACUGGGGAUGAUGGGAGUUGUAGUCCCAAAACAUCUGGAGGGCCAAGUUUGCCUAUGCCUGCCCUAAACAUUUACUCCAAUCCCUUACCCCUUUUCCAUAAUCACUUACCCCAUACUACUUACCCCAACCCUAAACCACUUACCCCUAGUUGUCAGGAGUGCGUGCAGGAGCCAGGCCCUGUGACUGGUAGGGCCUCGCAGGAAUGGGGCCUUCCUGAGUUUGGCCUGGAAGGGCACAGGUGAGGCUUGACAGAAGAUUUGUAGCACCUGGUGGCAAGGGCUGGGAGGGGUAUAUAAGAUCAGCAUUUCCCUCUGGCUCUUUGCCACAGCAACACGCUACCCACCUAGUUGUGCUUUGGCUUCCUGACUCCUGGUUUCCUGAUUUAUGGACUCUUGGCUUCCAGACCCCUGGACUGCUGAUUCCUGCUUCCUGACCUCCACCCCGGUCCUGACGUACGGAGCCGGGACUCCGACUGCCUGUAACCCAGAUUGUGACACUAAUCACUUGCCCCUUACCCCUAAUCACUUGCCCUUAAUGCCUAAGCUCUUACCCCUUACCCCAACCCCAACCCCUAAAUGUGGUCACAUACCCUCAAUCCAUUACCCCAUACCACUUACCUCUAACCCUUUGCCCUUCAUUCCUAUUCCCUAAUUCCUAACCACUUACCCCUUACUUUAACCCCUCACAGCUAAUCCCCAUUCCCUAUACGCUUACACCAAACCAAUAAUCGCUUACCCCAAUCCCUUACCCAUAAACCCUUAACACUUACCCCUGAUCGCAGACCCCUAACCCCAAAUCCAUAACCACUUACAGCUAAGAGAGAUUUAUUGCAAACAAAGUGUGAUAAUAAAUCUUGUGCCCACAUGCUUCCUCUGGCGUGAGCUUUGCAGAAUACGCAAUGUUGUUGGAAGCCUAUUGAAGUCUGAAUGCUGUCCUUCUGGACAACAAAGGAAAGAAUGGUUUGAAAGCUACAACUAGUGUUAUUGUAGUAAACAGUAAUAAACAUAUACCGGUAGAUUACUAUAUACAGAUAUAGAGUGUUAACAGCAUGUACAGUCUCUCAGCAAACUGCCAUUAACCAAUCCCUCAUACUCUAACCACUACAGACAGACAGAGGGACUCUCUCAGAACGCAGGCAUAUAUAUAUAUAUAUAUAUAUAUAUAUAUAUAUAUAUAUAUAUAAUAUAAUAAUAAUAAUAAUUUUUAUUGUUUCAUAUUACCAAAUUAAACACAUCAAACCAAUUGUCAGGGGUUCAGGAGCAGAGGCAAGGGCAAGGGAGGAAACAGAGAGCGAGGGGGAGGAGGCAGAAGAAAAGAUGAGUGAUGACGACGACCCGAGAUCUCCGAGUCUUUCCAGUGAAUCAGAAGAUUCACAGAAAGGAGCACCAGUGGCCAGGGCAAGGGGGAGCCUAGGGGACGCCCCAGGAAGAUAGAGCCAGAGGGGACUCAGAGGGGAGCAGUUGGAAAUCGGGACCAGCGUCACCGCCAGAGAGCAGGGAAGAGGAAGGGAGCCAGGGAUCAAGCGCUGGCAGCUCACAACAGGGGGGAGGGCACGAGUCAGGAGUGGCCACACCUCCAUCGGGGAGCGAAGAAACGGUCAGACGGAAGGUGGAAGGUUGGGCGCGCGCGCCAAGUUCAAAUGCACAGGAAGGUGGCACAGUAGGCAGCCCGGAAAGGGAGCCAGGUCCUAAAGCCCGCCGAAAGGAGGGAGAAGAGUCAGGGGGGUCAGCGUCAGCGUCAGAGGAAUCCCGGAAAGAAGAGACCCCAGGGGGGCAGAGGGACCCAGAGAAGAACAGUCAGGCGGAAAAGGUGGAGCAGGGCUAGGAUAUUAAGUUGGUGUACAAGGGGCGGAGACUCAGACGGAGCUUCGCCGGUCUAACCAUGAGACGUAGAGUUGCACGCAGCAGUUUGAGAAUGGAAACUGUAACUCAAUAAAGACUUUUGUUUAAUGAUCGCUGGCUAGCGUGAUCCUCUGUGAGCUAGGAUCUGGAAGCAGCUCUGACAGUAAGCUCCGUCUCUAUAAAAUUGUGGGCAUCUACAGCCUCGCGGAGAGGAGAGAAAGCGGGUGCCUACUAGCGAGCUCACGAAAGGCAGACAAUAUGACGGCCGAACAGCAGAUAGCGGAACUCAGAGAAGCAGUGUCACGACUGAAUGCCGAGGCUCUUGCAUCCAGGAAGAGAGAGGAGGACGCAGCUGCCGCCUACAGGGAUCUCCAGGUCAGGUUGGAAGUGCUUACGAAGCAAGGGCAACUGACACCCAAACCGGAGGGGAUUGGGUUGGGGAGACGAACAGGCGGUCUGGUCUCUCACUUCGAUGGGAAUUUGCAACAGUACCCCAACUUUAGAGCAGAUGUAAUGUGUGCACUGCAACUGCUGGACAAAGACUUUAGAGAUGAGCAAGAGAAGGUGGGAUUCAUCAUGUCCCAUUUGCAUGGAGAUGCUAAAGCAUGGCUGCGCAAUUUGUGGAGAGAUAAGGAUCCGGCGCUCCAAAAUGCGGAUGCCUUUAUUAAAGCGAUGGAUGGGUGCUUUUAUUCAAGCAUUGACGUGGAUCUUGCUCGGCAGCAGAUACAUGGACUGAAGCAAGGGAGGGCCAGCGUAAGGCAGUACCAUGCCCGCUUUUCGCUUUGGUCAGUGCUCUGGAAUGGGACAGAGAUUCGGCUCCUGUAAGAGACCUGUUUUGGGAGGGAUUGCACGGCUCGGUUAAAGAUGAAAUUGCGAGGGGAGAGACCCCGGACCACGCAGGAGAUCGUUCAGAGGGCGCUGGCGGUGGGGGUGCGGCUGGAAGAACGUCCGUGGAGCAGGGACGAAGGGCGGGAGGGCGCGAACCAGCCAGGGGCUCCUCCUUCCUUCCCAGAGAAGCAGCGCGUGCGCAAUCCACGCCUCCGCCAGGAGGAGGAGCGGAACCUAUGGAGGUUGGAGGUGCAAGGGCUCAGUCAGCAGCCAGAGCCCUAGCACCGGCAGCAGUGAAAGCGAAGCCUCCUAGAGGGAACAGGAAGUGUUACAUCUGCGAUGCUCCACAGCAUAUGGCGAAAGAGUGUCCCCAGAGGCUCCACAAGCACACUGCAGCUUCAGCAAUGGUAACUGCAGCAACGCAGCAAGGAGAACCACAGCAGGGAAACGAUGGAGUCUGGUUGGAGGAAGAGGCACUGGGGCCCAGCCAGACGUGUCAGUGAAGCAGUCCCCAGAGAUUUUACAGCCCAUGGACCCCUCCCGCCCAAACCAGUAGUGAGGCUCACCGCGUCGCUCCAGCUGCCCAAUGGAAUCACCAUGGACGUGCCAAUCACCAUUGACUCCGGAAGCAAUGCGGACUUUAUAGGGCAGGACUUUGUCGACCGGCACGCUAUACAGUUGCUGCCUGCCACGCUGCCCCUGCAGGUUGUUACGGUGGAUGGCAGGGAGCUGCUAGGGGGGCAAGUGGUGAAGCAGACGCCACCAAUGGUGAUGCGGCUUGGGAAUCACAGGGAAAUCAUCAGCUUCAAUGUCACUCAACUAUCGGACACGCCCAUUGUAUUGGGCAUGAGUUGGCUGGACAAGCACAGCCCGACGCUGGCUUGGUACCAGAGGCAGCUGACCUUCGGCUCUUCCUUUGCGCUGAACACUGCAUCGUGCCCCGGCAGGAAGGAGAGGAAGAGGAGUCACAGCUGCAGCUAGGCACGCUGCAAGCGGUUCCCCACAAGUACGCAGAAUUUUUGGAGGUUUUCUGCGAGAAGGAGGCAGACAGGCUACCCCCCCACAGACCAUAUGACUGCAAAAUUGACCUGCUGCCGGGGGCGGCGCUGCCCAAAGGGAAGCUGUAUUCCAUGUCUGAGGAUGAACUGCAGGAACUCAAAGAGUUCAUAGAUCAUAAUUUGGAGCGCGGUUUCAUCCGAGAGUCCAAGGCAGCGGGGGCAGUCCGGUAUUCUUUGUUAAGAAGCGGGACACGCCCCAGAAAAGACUUGUAGUGGACUAUCGCAUUUUGAACAGCGUGACCAAGCCAUCGGACUUCCCCAUGCCCCGAAUCGACGACCUCCUCGCAAAGGUACGGAAGGGCAGCGUGUUCACUAAGUUGGACCUGCGAGGGCGUAUGUCAGGGGUUCAGGAGCAGAGGGACAGGAAAGGGAGGAAAUAGAGAGCGAGGGGGAGGAGUCCGAAGGAAAUGUUAGCGAUGACAGCGGUCCGAGGUCUCUGAGUCUUUCCAGCGAAUCGGAAGAUUCACAGAAAGGGGCUCCCUUGGUCAGAGCAAGGGGGUGCCGAGGGGGACACCCCAGGAAGAAGGGGCCAGAGGGGACUCAGAGAGCAGCAGUUGGAAAUCAGGACCAGCGUCCACACCAGAGUGCAGUAGGGGGGAGGGGUCCCAGGCAUCGGGAUCAGGCGGCGCACUGCCAGUGGGAGGACAUGAGUCAGGAUUGGCCACGCUCCAUCGGGGAGCGAGGAAACGGUCGAGAGGAAGGUUGAAGGCUGGGCGCGCGCGCCAAGUUCAAAUGUACAGGAGGGCGGCGCAGUUGGCAGCCCGGAUAGGGAGCCAGGUCCCAAAGCCCGCCGAAAAGAGGGGGAGGAGUCAGGGGGGUCAACGUCAGCGUCAGAAGAAUCCAGGAAGGAAGGGACCCCGGGGGGUAGCAGGACCCAGAGGAGAAAGGAGAGACGUAAGAGGUGGAGUAAGGCUAGAAUCUUAAACUGGUGUACAGGGGGCGGAGACUCAGAUGGAGCUUCGCCGAUCUAACCCCUAGACGUAGAGCUGAGGCGCUGCGGCUUGAAAAUGGAAACUGUACUUCAAUAAAGACUUUUGUACAUUACUGCCGGCUAGCGUUGGUCCUCUGUGAGCUGGGACCUGGAGCCAGCUCUGACAG
rnacentral:lncRNA from 1 species